GAAAAGUAAAGCAGUUUGGAUACCCUCUUCAGCUCAGGUAGAUAGAUACACACAUCCGUUGCACUCUAUGAAGGGAAGGCUUUCAGAGAAGCUGUGGAAAUCAGGCUGGAAUGUUUGUGCAGUAACUGAAGGAAAUGGAGCUCACCAGCAUCCUAAGUCUACAGCACUCUUCAGUAGGGCAGUUCCGAAAAAAAUGUAUCUCUCCACAAGGAACAUGCACCUCUGGCUGUACUGCGGGGCCAUGAUUAGAAGAGGGACAGGGGAGAAGGCUCCACAGGUAAAGGUAUGUGCUAUAUACACUUAAGAACCCAACUUUGGAUCUCCAGCAUCCACAUAACUGAAGGGUGGGUUUGGCAGCUCACCUACAAUCCUGAGCAAAGGAGGCUGACACUGGGGCUCCCCAUAGCAUCUGACUGGCUGCACUCGCUGAAUCUGUAAAUUCUGGAUAAAAAUUCAAGACCCUGACUCAAUAUAUAAGGUAGAGAGCAAAUGAGAGAGAGAUAUCUGAUGUCUAUCCAUGGCCUUCAC